ensembl:snoRNA SNORA7A small nucleolar RNA, H/ACA box 7A
UCCCUCCUCUGUCCAACAGACAGCCCAGUGCUCCAUACUGGGUUUGUCAGCAAACUGAGGAGGCAGAUCAGAGCAGUGGUAUUACCCAUUCCAUCCUUAGCUGCCAGGUUGCUCUGUGGUGGAAGAGAUCCCUGCAACAAAC